UGUCAAAGUGAAGAAAUUCAACC
rnacentral:snRNA from 1 species